rnacentral:rRNA from 1 species
UGAGGAAUAUUGGGCAAUGCCCGCAAGGGUGACCCAGCAACGCCGCGUGGAGGAUGAAUGUCGUAAGAUUGUAAACUCCUGUUAGAGGGGAAGAAUAGUACCGGUUGGACCGGUAUAUGACUGUACCCUCAGAGAAAGCCCCGGCUAACUACGUGCCAGCAGCCGCGGUAAUACGUAGGGGGCAAGCGUUGUCCGGAUUUACUGGGUGUAAAGGGCGCGCAGGCGGGAUAAAAAGUCAGUGGUGAAAUCCUACAGCUUAACUGUAGAACUGCCUUUGAUACUUUUAUUCUUGAGUUCGGGAGAGAGAGACGGGAUUCCAGGUGUAGUGGUGAAAUACGUAGAUAUCUGGAAGAACACCAGUUGCGAAGGCGGUCUCUUGGUCCGACACUGACGCUGAGGCGCGAAAGCGUGGGGAGCAAACA